AGAGUUUGAUCCUGGCUCAGGAUGAACGCUAGCGGCAGGCUUAACACAUGCAAGUCGAGGGGCAGCGGGGAGGAAGCUUGCUUUCUCCGCCGGCGACCGGCGCACGGGUGAGUAACACGUAUGCAACCUGCCCCUGUCAGGGGGACAACCCGCCGAAAGGCGGGCUAAACCCGCGUACAUGCCACCGGGGCAUCCCGGAGGCAGGAAAGGCUUCGGCCGGACAGGGAUGGGCAUGCGGCGCAUUAGGCAGUAGGCGGGGUAACGGCCCACCUAACCGACGAUGCGUAGGGGUUCUGAGAGGAAGGUCCCCCACACUGGUACUGAGACACGGACCAGACUCCUACGGGAGGCAGCAGUGAGGAAUAUUGGUCAAUGGUCGGGAGACUGAACCAGCCAAGCCGCGUGAGGGAGGAAGGUACAGAGUAUCGUAAACCUCUUUUGUCAGGGAACAAAGGCGGGGACGUGUCCCCGGAUGAGUGUACCUGAAGAAAAAGCAUCGGCUAACUCCGUGCCAGCAGCCGCGGUAAUACGGAGGAUGCGAGCGUUAUCCGGAUUUAUUGGGUUUAAAGGGUGCGCAGGCGGUCUGUUAAGUCAGCGGUCAAAGCCCGGGGCUCAACCCCGGCCCGCCGUUGAAACUGGCAGUCUCGAGUUGGAGAGAAGUAUGCGGAAUGCGCGGUGUAGCGGUGAAAUGCAUAGAUAUCGCGCAGAACUCCGAUUGCGAAGGCAGCAUGCCGGCUCCACACUGACGCUGAGGCACGAAAGCGUGGGUAUCGAACAGGAUUAGAUACCCUGGUAGUCCACGCAGUAAACGAUGAAUGCUGGCUGUCCGGGGGGAUUGACCCCUGGGUGGCGAAGCGAAAGCGAUAAGCAUUCCACCUGGGGGAGUACGCCGGCAACGGUGAAACUCAAAGGAAUUGACGGGGGCCCGCACAAGCGGAGGAACAUGUGGUUUAAUUCGAUGAUACGCGAGGAACCUUACCCGGGCUCAAACGGGGAGUGACUCAGGCAGAGACGCCUGUUUCCCACGGGACACUCCCCGAGGUGCUGCAUGGUUGUCGUCAGCUCGUGCCGUGAGGUGUCGGCUUAAGUGCCAUAACGAGCGCAACCCCCGCGUGCAGUUGCUAACAGAUAACGCUGAGGACUCUGCACGGACUGCCGGCGCAAGCCGCGAGGAAGGCGGGGAUGACGUCAAAUCAGCACGGCCCUUACGUCCGGGGCGACACACGUGUUACAAUGGGUGGUACAGCGGGAAGCCAGGCGGCGACGCCGAGCGGAACCCGAAAUCCACUCUCAGUUCGGAUCGGAGUCUGCAACCCGACUCCGUGAAGCUGGAUUCGCUAGUAAUCGCGCAUCAGCCAUGGCGCGGUGAAUACGUUCCCGGGCCUUGCACUCACCGCCCGUCA
rnacentral:rRNA from 1 species